AGCCUUCGUACCCAUUCAUCCAUGGGUGGGGAUUUGUUGCAUUACUUGUGUUACGUAUAAAGUAUUGCACUUGUCCCGGCCUGUGGAAGAAAGGAGGAUUUUUAUC
rnacentral:pre_miRNA from 1 species